ensembl:lncRNA
CUAGACUCUGUUAAUUUAUGACCUUUUGAAAAAGAAGUAUGUGAAGAAACAGACAGGUCUUUACCUCAUUCCUUCCCAAAGUAAGGAGUACAGGAUUCCUGAGGGAAGACUACUGCUUGGCCUCUGAGAAUAGGGACCAGUUGGUCAUUUGGAAUUUGGAGACUGGGUUUUUAAAGAGUCGGCUGAGGCCAGAACACAAAGACAAGACUCCCGUGCAACCUAUUUAUUCUGGCAGGCCAUCUUCUAUCAAAGGCCACUGGAGAGCUGUACAAGGAGACUCCACCCAAAAGGAGAAGGAGCAAGGGAGCCACAGAACUUCGAAACCCGUGAGAAAGGCGUAAUGAAACUAAGACGGGAAAGAAAAGGAGACUGGAGAACAAGUUUGCAAGCCCUGCGCCAGCUCCAUGUUCUUCAAAGUAGUACAUCCAUGCUCUUCUUGCACACUGCUGCCUUGACCUACACUGGCCACUGUCUGGGGAUUCCCAACUACAGUGAAGAAGAGAAAAUCAACUAUAUCACACUGUAGAACUCAGAAACUAGAAUGUGUUGUUCAAAAGCAGAAUGGCAGAAAAAGAACUACCAGUAAUUGCUUCAGUUGGUUCCCACUGAGUGUUAAAACCCUGACCCAGCAGGUUAGUGAUGUUUCAGAGCCUUGAAUUAGAUGCUUUUACCUCAGACAUGUUAGGUGCUUUGAUACACUUCAGCCUUCAGUAAAACCUUGCACUUUGCUAAGAACACGAACGGUAUCUUACAGGAAUGAGAUUAGUGCCAUCUCAUUAAUCAGUAUUUGCAUGGCUGACUUUAGUUCAGGAGCUUGUACCUGGUGUAUCUGCUUGUUUUUCCUGUACAAGGCAAAAAUGAGGAGUUUCAACAUCAUUACUUCUUCAUAGCUUUUUUUUUUUCUCCUUUUAAUACAAAGUUAGCUUUUGAACAGAGACAGAAUCUGCCUGUACAGAUUCCAUAUUUUACUGGGCCACAAUUUAAAAAUGCUCCACAAUCUUAUCAGUUAUUCAGGCUGUUGAAUGAAGAGAGAAUGGAGAUGAAGCAUCUGCUGAAAGAGCAUAAUGUCUGCCUAACACCUUUGAAGAAAUGGGUAGUAAGGAAAGGCACAAGCUGUAUUUACAUCAGUUAGAAAAUAAGAGAUAUUUGAAAGUACUGUCUGACCAGAGGGAGAACUUAGCUUGAGAUAUAAAGAACUGAAUUAAAGAAUAUCUGUCAUUUUUAUCCUUAUCAGAUAAUUCCACUUAGAAGCUGUGCUUAAUUUAGUGAGAAGAAAAGGUGGAACUAGAGUCUGGGCACAUUUUGCAUAUCUGUACGAGUGGUUUUACCUUGGCCAUAAGGUUUGAAAAAGAAACUUAUCAAAUGUUUGUAUGCUUGCCAAAGCAAUAGAUCAUGAUCUAAAUUUAAUAACAACUUUUUUCCUAUUGAGUUUGUUUUGCUAAGUUUCUACCUAGAGGCUGUAUUCUGAAAAUCUUUUUUUUUUUUUUAAUCCUUCAUUCAGAGGCUGAAUAGAAAUUUUUUUGUUUAUAAUCAGGGAAGUUCCUUCUGUGAGGGACUUGCAGGAUUUGAAUUAAGAAAAGUUUUAAAUUUCUUUUUGGUUCAUUUAGUCUCCUAAGUUUCAGUAGCCUUUUACACUUGGCAGUUCCUGAAGCUUCAGUUGAGCUACUCAAGUGCUCUCCACAAAGCCAAGCCUUUGAAAUCUGGCAGUGCUUUCUUCUCUGCCAUUGUACCUCAUGCCAGCAAGUACAGAUGACAAGUCAUUAAAUACAAGUGAGAGUUGUUAGCAAAAAAAUAUAUAUAAUACAUAUAUAGUAUUUACUAAGAGACUUAUGUCUGACCUGCUUCCCUCAAACCAAUUCUGUCUCCAUGGCAACAGCCACAAGUGUGUGACAAAACAUUCUGGAUUUCUCCAAAGAAAAAUACUUAAAAUGUCACUUUUCAGGGAAGCAUCACAUUAUCCUCAAACAGGUUUCAGAAGUGCAUAACAUGUUUACAGGAAGACAAGACUUUUGGCUUGGUAAAGCUUCAUCAGCUAAUGCAUUUAAGUACACUAGCCAUGACAAACUGCACAAACAGGUCCUAUUGAUGUGAAAAUGUAAGAAUUAACAAAUACUCCAUUAACUUACCUGAUCAGGCAGUGUUUUGGGAAUAGACAGAUAUUUCUUCUGAACUCCAGAGUUUAGAAUAGCUCUGAUUUGAUAAUCGUGAUGUUCUUGGCUACGAUUUUAUUACAAUGUUUUUUACAAGCUAUCAUCCAGAAGUACCUUCACAGUUUAUUAUGAAUAUGGUGUAAGAAGGGAAGGCCUCAAAAUUAUUCUUACCUUCUACUACUAAAUAAAGUUUAAUCAUAACACA